CCUACGGGUGGCAGCAGUGAGGAAUAUUGGUCAAUGGACGCAAGUCUGAACCAGCCAUGCCGCGUGCAGGAAGACGGCUCUAUGAGUUGUAAACUGCUUUUGUACGAGGGUAAACGCAGAUACGCGUAUCUGUCUGAAAGUAUCGUACGAAUAAGGAUCGGCUAACUCCGUGCCAGCAGCCGCGGUAAUACGGAGGAUUCAAGCGUUAUCCGGAUUUAUUGGGUUUAAAGGGUGCGUAGGCGGGUGGAUAAGUUAGUGGUGAAAUCCUGAGGCUCAACUUCAGAAUUGCCUUUGAUACUGUUCGGCUAGAGUGUAGUUGAGGUAGGCGGAAUGUAUGGUGUAGCGGUGAAAUGCUUAGAGAUCAUACAGAACACCGAUUGCGAAGGCAGCUUACCAAGCUACUUCUGACGUUGAGGCACGAAAGCGCGGGUAUCGAACAGGAUUAGAUACCCCUGUAGUC
rnacentral:rRNA from 1 species